UACAGAGGUCCCAAGCGUUGUUCGGAUUCACUGGGCGUAAAGGGUGCGUAGGCGGUCGGGUAAGUUUGAUGUGAAAUCUCUGGGCUUAACCCAGAGAUGGCAUUGAAUACUAUUCGGCUAGAGAGUCGGAGGGGGGACUGGAAUACUUGGUGUAGCAGUGAAAUGCGUAGAUAUCCGGAGGAAUACCAGUGGCGAAGGCGGCACGCUGGGCCAUAACUGACGCUAAGACGCGAAAGCAUGGGUAGCGAACGGG
rnacentral:rRNA from 1 species